UUUUUUUUUCUUUUUUUUUUUUUUUUGAAAUUGUGGUGCAUCUUACUUGGCUACUUCUUGGUUUGUUUCUCUAUUCGUUUGUACUCCAUGUUUGCGAAGUGACAGUUAUAUAUGUUUGAUCAUUUGAAAACCUGUGAUUACGAUAACAGAAUACAAGUUUCGCAUGCUAAGCGACUGUUGUUGGAUUCGAUUUAGCUAGGGGUUGGUGGUACAAGUCCUGUCCAUCCAGCCAAAGUUGAAAUAAGACGUCUGGAUCGUUUGAGUGCAACGAACAUGGUUUGAUGAACAAAUUACCCGAACCAUGGUUCAAAAUCAAUCUUAUUGUGGAAGUCAACACGAAUCAGCACAACUUCCUCAUGAUAGGAAGGCACGUCGAAAAGAUACUUCGUGUUUCUUGCCACACUUUGGUGAUACAAGACGGAUAUGAGGAUCCUUUUGUGGUGCCGCCAAUUCUUAAAAAUUUGGUCGGUGAGUCAAAAACAUUUCAACUCUCUUUUGGAAAUCAAAACAGCAACUUUGGGAAGAUAGAUUUCAUCGUUCAUGGACUGCUUCAAGACCAAGCACUCUCCAACCCAGUGAUCGGCUCAAUCAAAUCACAAAUGCCCACUCCCUUCCCAACCACUGGAUCAACAACCCCGACCAAUUGCAGCCGCCAAGACUUCGAAUAGAGCAUUGUUCCUUGAUCAAGCAGACAAAUCUAACAGCAAAAAACCUUGCAGCGAGUAAAUAGGCACAACCAAUUCUGCCAGAAUUGCUGGAGAAUUCCACAAUCUGGUUUUCCCCAAAAUCAAACCUGCCGACAGAGUUCUGAUUGCCGCCCUCAAGACAAAAACUCAGGCAAAAAAAAAAAAAAAAACAAAGAUAGAGUGAUAAGCCGGCAGAGGCUGAAGGUGCAGAACGGGGAGAGAAGAUUGAAGAUCUUUCCAAACCAGGCUCAGAUUUGUUUGAAAGCAACUUUAAAGAACUUCAAAAAUGGGUUGAAGUGAAGUCCUCCAAAAACGGAACUCUCUCAGUACUACGUGAGAAACGUUCUGGAAGGCUUGGAACAGAACUGAAGUUUCUGAAUGACGUAAUUCAAAAUGAUGGGGAGCCUCCCAAGAAGAAGUUCUACGACCUGAAGAUUUCCUUGCUCGAUGAGAUUGGCUGGCAACAUUUGGCGGCACACGAGAGGCAAUGGAUGCAUGUCCGCUUUCCACCAAGUUUACCUCUUUUUUAGAGUUACUCCAUUUCAAUUCUCAGAGAUCAAAUAAAUGCGAAUAGUAAUAUCACACUAAAAUGUGCUAGACCCUGUGACUGAUUGAGCUAGUUUUUCGACUACUUAAAGAAUAGUCUGUAUGACGUUUAAAUGAUUGUUCCUCACAUUCUCUUCUA